rnacentral:rRNA from 1 species
UACGGGGGGGGCAAGCGUUGUUCGGAAUUACUGGGCGUAAAGGGCUCGUAGGUGGCCAACUAAGUCAGACGUGAAAUCCCUCGGCUUAACCGGGGAACUGCGUCUGAUACUGGAUGGCUAGAGGUUGGGAGAGGGAUGCGGAAUUCCAGGUGUAGCGGUGAAAUGCGUAGAUAUCUGGAGGAACACCGGUGGCGAAGGCGGCAUCCUGGACCAAUUCUGACGCUGAGUGAGCGAAAGCCAGGGGAGCAAACGGG